UUUUUCUUUUUCUUUUUUUUUUUCACACAAGCACCAAAUCUGAACCACUUUGGUCAGAUACAACAAUGAUUAAAAAAAAUCACAAUAAUUUCGCACAUUCAUCAUUCUUUCUAAUGAUUUGCAAUCUGGUAAUUCCACAAACUUAUUAGAAGCCUGUGGAAGUAAUUGAAGCCUCACAUGCCGAUCUAUUUGAAGGCACCGGAGCAUGGUGAGCUUAUCAUUAUUGAUUCUUUCAGGUACGCUCCAUGAUAUCGAUAUGUCGCAGCAUUCAUGUCUCUUCUAUUCAAAUUUCUUGCUAAUUUUGCACUCUUAAAAGUUUUUAAUGGAUAUAUUAUUCUCAUUUAUGCAAUUGUCGUUAUACAUUGGCUUUAUUGAAUCACAAUAAUUGAUUAUUGGAUUUGGUGCAUACCAAUUUCUACAUAUGGGGAUUUGAUGCAUACCAAUUUCUACAUAUGGCAGGGUAGAGACGAAUAAAACCUUUAUGAGAAUCUGAUAUUGCAACAUGUCUUCAAGCCAUGAAUCAAUCAGUUCUCACCAGUAGGCACUCGACCCAAUGCCAUCUCUCAUGCCAACGACCCCUCCCUUCCCAUUCCCAAAAAUGUCAUAUGUUUCCUGUUUGUUUCAUCAAAUGAAAGUUGUGUAUCAAUCAAAAUUUUCAAAUAGAACCAAAAGACUUGCUAAUAUGGGUAUGAGGAAUGACAGGUGUUUAUCAAUGAAAACAACAGGCUGAACCCAACCAUUGGUCUAGCAGUUUAGUCCCUCGACUGCUUGAGUGUGAAAAACCUUUCUAACCCAGGCUGGGAACUCUCUUUCUAACAUUUGGGUGAGGGAGGCCACACAUAAGGAAGGGCCAUAUCCUUUACGCAGCCAUAACCCAGUGGAUCUCUAACAAAACUUCCCUGGACCAUAUAAGAGAUCAAAUGUAAUUAGUUUAAAUAUAAAUGGCAUGGAGACUAAUGUAAUCUUCGUCCCUGUAAGUUGGGAUAUCAGAGUGCUUCUCAUCCAAAAAUUAAUCAACAAUACAGACAUGUUAAACCCAUCUUAAUAAUUAGUUUGUAUUAACCCAACCUCAACUCCUACACAGUGCCCUCUUCGCUUGCCUUGGCCUUAUAUACACCAUUGCCAGACAUGGCAUGUCUAAUCUAAUUUGCAAAAAGAACUUCCUUCAAUAGGCUUAGCUAGUCUGCCAAGGAUGGCUCUUUAGCUGGUUCAACAACCAAUGGCUCCAAUUUCUCAGCCUUACCAUCUCCUUUAGGUAUGAUAAGACCAUAUCCUCCAGCUUUUCGUUUAUAAACAAUAUUAAUGUCACCAGUUUCUUCAUUCCGGAAACCAUAGAAAUCAUGAUCAACAUUUUCUAGCUGCUCAAUGGCUUCAGAGACAGUUAAAGGUGGCAUGUCAAAAUAUUUUGUCCGAACAACCUGAAAAUUGGAUGACAUAAUGAGUCUUUCACAGAGAAGAAAGUUAGGCACAACCACAAUCAGAAAUGUACACACAUUGUAAACAAGCUUAUAACCAUGAAAUCACUCUCAUCCAAUGGUUGUAAGCUUGUUUAACUGAGCGCACAACACACAAAAUCAUUUUACUACCAUAAUAUAAAAAGGUCAAGAUGGAAAUAGUUCUUCGAAUAUAUUUUGGUGAAACAAAUACAGCGUGUAAUAGUGUAUAGAUGUCAAGGUAAAUGAAUGAGAGUAUCAUUGGCAAUAAUUUACUAAUUAAGAAACUGAACUAUGCGCAAAUCACAUGUGCCAGUCACCGAAGAGUGCAAAUGGAAGUCCCUUUGGGAACAGAGCAACUCCAUGACAGUAACUAAAAACUCAAGAAUAUAAUGAACUGAAUUUAUAUGAUCUGGAAGCCAAAUUUGGGAUUAUAAGCACACAUAAGUGGCAGAGCAUAUUGCAACACAAACCAAAAUAGUAAUUUGUUGAAGCAGAAGUGUUUAAGAGAAAACCUCAUCAAUAUAGUCCUCAUCCUCAUGUUGGGGAACUCCAUCUACAUCAUCUUUCACUGCUUCUGCCACUGGCUCCCUCACCUUCAAUCUGUUGAAACCCUUCAUAUGCCGGCCACGGUCAGACUCCUUCUCCUUAAUCUUCCUCAACUUUCUUUGUAUGAUUGAUGACACCAAGUCAAUACUCGCAUAUAUUGUCUCAGCAUCUUCCUCUGCCCGAAUCACUCCAUGCUUCUUGGUAAACAAGGUCACCUCGCAUCUACGAAUCCUUGGGCCUUUCCCCAACUCUCCACCUCUAAAAGACAACCUAACAUCGACUUCUUGGACGAGAUGGCUAUGCUUUUGAACUGCCUUGCCCACCUUCUCUUCCACAUGAUUUUUCACUGUAUCCGUCAACUCCAAGUUUUUGCCUUGAAUUAUCAAUUUAACAGAGGAGAGCGGUCCGUCCCAUGACAUCCGAACCGAGCUUCUUCUUCUUCGUCUAACUUCAACAUACUUAACAUUGCUAUCCAAAAUGAGUGGGUUUAAGAAACUGUGUUUCUGUGAUAACGAAGAUGUGAAACCAAGCUUUUUGGAACUGAGAGCACAGAUAGAGGAAAAGGAAGAAGAGGUAGCUGCCUUUGCUGAUAAUGACGUACGGGGAUGAUGGAAGCUUAUUUGCAGUGAUCCUAGAAGAGUCGUCAUUUGAUAUUUUGAUGGAAAGCU
rnacentral:misc_RNA from 1 species